GAAAGUUACGCUAAUACCGCAUAUUCUGUGAGCAGGGAAANCAGGGGGACCGCAAGGCCUUGCGCUUCUUUGAGCGGCCGAUGUCAGAUUAGCUAGUUGGUGAGGUAAAGGCUUACCAAGGCGACGAUCUGUAGCGGGUCUGAGAGGAUGAUCCGCCACACUGGAACUGAGACACGGUCCAGACUCCUACGGGAGGCAGCAGUGGGGAAUUUUUGGACAAUGGGCGCAAGCCUGAUCCAGCCAUGCCGCGUGAGUGAAGAAGGCCUUCGGGUUGUAAAGCUCUUUCGGCCGGGAAGAAAUCGCAUGGGUUAAUACCCUGUGUGGAUGACGGUACCGGAAUAAGAAGCACCGGCUAACUACGUG
rnacentral:rRNA from 1 species